rnacentral:rRNA from 1 species
UACGCAGGGAGCAAGCGUUGUCCGGAAUCAUUGGGCGUAAAGCGCGCGUAGGUGGCCUCAUAAGUCCGCUGUGAAAGUCCAAGGCUCAACCUUGGAAAGCCGGUGGAUACUGUGAGGCUAGAGUACGGAAGAGGCGAGUGGAAUUCCUGGUGUAGCGGUGGAAUGCGCAGAUAUCAGGAGGAACACCAAUAGCGAAGGCAGCUCGCUGGAACGUUACUGACGCUGAGGCGCGAAAGCGUGGGGAGCAAACAGG